CUGCAACACCUCAACAGCAACAAGCACACCUGCUACCUAGAACUUGGUUUCUAAAAACCAUCCUCCUCUAAAAGGAAACAGAGCUCUUUGAAGAAAUGGUGAGACAGUCAACAAACCUCUAACCACCGACCUUUUCUCCUCUGCCCUCCACUCACACUCUGCUCCAUCACCCUCAGCCACACAGCUGACGCUGUAGAGAUUCACUGACAUCCAGUCUGAUGGACACUGUUUCUCCAGCCGAAACUGCUCAUGAGAACAUGUGCAGUGAAGUGCUCCAGAGGCCCCAGCAUGCUACAUUACAGAAGACUGAACUCAGGAGAGAUGAGGAAUAAUCCCCUCCAUCACACCAGACACCAGGAGGGUGUGCCAAGGUAUUGUAAUAAUACUGCGUGACAUUACGGACAACUUAGCCUAAAUUACGGAAAAUCAAAUUAUUUAGUAGAACUGCAAGACAAUCCUCUCGGUUGUUGUAAGGUAACUUUGCUGGACUUGUGAAGAAUGGUGUGCAAGGUCCAGAGCGACUGCAGGAGAGGGAAGGUGGGAUUCCCACAGAGCAGGAGCACAGAUGAGCCAAGCAAGGCCCUGCUUAGAAGGCAGCAAUCAACAGAGAUGCACAGACCUGUGAGGGUGCCGGGACAGCCAUGCAACAAUGCAGCCCUUUUGCUUCCUAAGGUCACCAGUUCCCUCGCUCCACCUCUGAGAGGUGGUUUGGAGAAACACAGCCCUUCUCAAGAGGGUUGCAAGCUACUUAAGUACUGAAAAUUUCCACAAGGCUGAGUCAAAUCUGCAUUUCAUCAUCUAUAAGAAAGGUACCUAUCGAGAACACCCUGCUGGCCAGUGUGUAAAUAUCUAAAGGAGGACUCAGAAAACACCGGGGAAGUCCAGCCUGCACGUGGUGGCUGGGCUUCAGUGAAGCAUGGAGCACAACAGGAGUUAGCAGACCACAAAGAGCAUGUCUGGACCUAGAACCACAGCAUGUAACCUCGGAAGCAGUGAGACACCAGCCAGCAUGGACAAGCAGCAGGCACUUGCUCUAUACC
rnacentral:lncRNA from 1 species